rnacentral:rRNA from 1 species
UACGUAGGGGGCAAGCGUUGUCCGGAAUCAUUGGGCGUAAAGAGCGUGUAGGCGGUCCGGUAAGUCGGCUGUGAAAGUCCAGGGCUCAACCCUGGGAUGCCGGUCGAUACUGCCGGACUAGAGUUCGGAAGAGGCGAGUGGAAUUCCCGGUGUAGCGGUGAAAUGCGCAGAGAUCGGGAGGAACACCUAUGGCGAAGGCAGCUCGCUGGGACGUUACUGACGCUGAGACGCGAAAGCGUGGGGAGCAAAUAGG